CGGCCUGUGAUGAGAAACACAUAUAAAACACACACACCAUCUUUCGGGACUUAAUGGCCCUCCUUAGAGGGCCUUGCUGAUUUUAUUCUGCAAUUCUGAGGCUA
rnacentral:snoRNA from 1 species